GAGCUUUCAUGUGCAUGCACACUUCUUCAGAUACGUAUACUUAUCUGAAGAAGUGUGCAUGCACAUGAAAGCUC